rnacentral:lncRNA from 10 species
GAAAAAUGGAGGCCCAGAGAUGUUAAGGAAUUUGCCCAAGAUCAUGAAAAGACACUCUCCCCUAUUGAGAUGUCAUGCAAGGAUCAGGUGGGUAUGUUUGUUCAAAUUGUCACUGGGCCCUGCUGAUGCCACCUCUGUCAAAGCGGUGCACUAACUUGUACUGCUUCACUGCAUAUGGAAAAGGUAGAAAUUUAGCCACUCCCUCCACUCCUCACUCCUCUGACGCCUUCCCAGUGAAAGCAGGGUACCCUCUUGUUGCCUCCAAGUGGACGUGUAAAAUCAACUCCUCACUGGUUCCACUGCCUCCCCACCCCCAAAGAGAGCUGAUUCAAAUUGCUCUGUUGCUGUGAGAUGGGGGUGAAAGCUCAGCUUCCACUAGACCCUGCUGACAUAGGAGGAGGUGAGAGGAGAGGGAAUAAGUGCCAACUAGCUCUGCUUUGCAUUGCCUCAUACAGAUUUAUUGCUGUCAGGUGAUUGUGGAGGUUCAGCCCCAGUCCCAUGGGGGCUAUAUCAUCUUGGCAGAACCAGAAAUAUGUCUUCUUUAA